UGAGGGGAUAUUGGUCAAUGGGGGAAACCCUGAACCAGCAACGCCGCGUGAGGGAUGACGGCCUUCGGUUGUGAAACCUCUGUACCUCUGUGAAGAUAAUGACGGUAGCAGAGGAGGAAGCUCCGGCUAACUACGUGCCAGCAGCCGCGGUAAUACGUAGGGAGCAAGCGUUGUCCGGAUUUACUGGGUGUAAAGGGUGCGUAGGCGGUUUGGUAAGUCAGAAGUGAAAUCCAUGGGCUUAACCCAUGAACUGCUUUUGAAACUAUCGAACUUGAGUGAAGUAGAGGUAGGCGGAAUUCCCGGUGUAGCGGUGAAAUGCGUAGAGAUCGGGAGAACACCAGUGGCGAAGGCGGCCUACUGGGCUUUAACUGACGCUGAGGCACGAAAGCAUGGGUAGCAAACAGGAUUAGAUACC
rnacentral:rRNA from 1 species